UUCCACAAGCCAGGCAGCCUGCCCGCAUCCACACCUACCCUCCCUCCUGCCCGCCACGCUCCCGCAUCCACACCUGCCCUGCCUCCUGCCCGCCACCCUCCCGCAUCCGCACCUGCCGCCCGCAUGCAGGCACCCACAGCUGUCCGCCUGCUGCUCAGUGCUCACAGCACUGUAUGCAACCCCCGCCAUUGAGGGACAGACAAGGAGGAGGACAGAUGACGCUGACGGAUGGAUAGAGGACCAUCACAAUACUGUACAGAAAAGGUUAGCACCAGCCCUGACAGCAUGUAUUGCACACUGUGAGCCGAGAACCAGUUUUCAUAUAGGAAAAGGAAAAUGUCAGCUACCUAAAGAGUGGAGAAAUACAGCUUGGAAGAGGAGAGUGCAUGGGGCAGCAGAAACUAAAUCUCAGAUAUUAUGGAAAUAAUCCAUGGAAGACCUUCUCUUCUGAGUCACUGCAGUGGUGGUAAUGACAAAGAGACACUUAUGAGUUAGGAAGUUUAUAAGUCAGACAGACGCGUCCAAAUCCAAGGUAAAGUUGCUAUAAGUGGUCAGAGAUUCAUGAAAUAUGGGCUGUGUCCGGGCUACUGAUGUUUACCGUGAUGCUGUUAUUACCUCGCCAAGAUUCCAUUUUCCAAGACGGAGCAGACUGGACCUUCUCUCUCUCUGACUAAUCAUAAACCUGACCUGAUGGCACAAUAA